rnacentral:rRNA from 1 species
UAUUUUAUUAAAAUAUUUUAUUUAAUUUAUGUUUUAGUAUUAAGUUAAAAUUAAUUUUUUGUUUUAUAGUUUAUAAGUAUUGUAAAAGAAAUUUUUAAAUUUUUAAAAGAAUUUUUUAGUACCUUUUGUAUCAGGGUUGAUUAAAAUAUUUAAUUUAUAUUAAUUUCUCAAAAUUUACAGAGUUAAUUUUAUUAUUAAGUUAUUGUUUUAUAAAUAUUUAAAAAAUAAUUUUGGUUUUGAAAUUUAAUUCGUUGUAUUAUAUUUAGUUAUUUAAGAUUUAAAUUUAAUUUAAAAUUUUAAAAGUUAUAUUAAUUUUAAUUAUUAUUUAUUUUAAAAUUAAAUUAUUUUAGGGAUAAGCUUGAAAUUUAUAUAUAAUAAAUUUUAAUAUUUAUAAUUUAUAGGAAUAGAAAUUUUUAUUUUAAGUUUGUAAAAAUUUAUUAUUAAUAUUUUAAUCUAAUUUAUUAAAAUUUAUUUAUUUUUAAUAUUAAAUUUUAUGAUUUAAUUUUUUAUUUAUAGUAAUAAUGAUUAAAUUAGUAUAAUAGAUAUAUUUGUAGAUUAUGAAUUCGGCAAUAAUUAUUUUCAUCUGUUUAUCAAAAACAUUGUAUUAAGUUUAUUUUAAUAUAGGAUCUGCUCAAUGAUUUAUUAAAUAGCUGCAGUAUAUUGACUGUGCAAAGGUAGCAUAGUAAUUAGUCUUUUAAUUGGGGACUUGAAUGAAAGAUUUGAUGAGAAAUUAACUUUAUUAUCUAUAAAUUUAAAAUUUUAUUUUUAAGUAAAAAAGCUUAAAUUUUUUAAAGGGACGAUAAGACCCUAUAAAACUUUAUAAAUUUAAUAUUUUAAUUUUUUGGUUAAUAUUUAUUUAAAUAAUUAUAUUUAUUUUAUUGGGGUGAUAAAAAAAUUUUAAAAACUUUUUUUAAAUAAUUACAUUAAUUUAUGAUUUAUUGAAUUAAAAAUUUUAAUUAAAAGAAAAAGUUACUUUAGGGAUAACAGCGUUAUUGAUUUUUUAAGUUCAAAUUUAAAAAUUAGUUUGCGACCUCGAUGUUGAAUUAAGAAUAAUCUUAGGUGCAUAAUUUUAAGUAUUAGGUCUGUUCGACCUUUAAUUUCUUACAUGAUUUGAG